rnacentral:rRNA from 1 species
AACGAACGCUGGCGGCGUGGAUAAGACAUGCAAGUCGAACGGGACAAGUAGCAAUAUUUGUCUAGUGCGAACGGGUGCGUAACACGUGGGCAACAUGCCUGGAAGAGCGGGAUAGCCCGGGGAAACUCGGAUUAAUACCGCGUGUGACAACGGGGCGGAUUCGCCCUGUUUUCAAAGGUGGGGACCGCAAGGCCUGCCGCUUCCAGAUUGGCCCGCGUCCUAUCAGCUAGUUGGCGGGGUAACGGCCCACCAAGGCGACGACGGGUAGCUGGUCUGAGAGGACGACCAGCCACACUGGAACUGAGACACGGUCCAGACACCUACGGGUGGCAGCAGUCGAGAAUCUUUCACAAUGGGGGAAACCCUGAUGGAGCGACGCCGCGUGGAGGAUGACGGUCUUCGGAUUGUAAACUCCUGUCAUGAAAGAACAAGCGGAGCGGGUGAACAGCCCGCCGAGUUGAUAGUAUUUCAAGAGGAAGGGACGGCUAACUUCGUGCCAGCAGCCGCGGUAA